CUGCGAAUAUUCUCGCUGUCCUGAUAGUUCAGUGAUCUGGGCAGGCUAGACAUUCGCUAUAUUAAAACUGCAGUUUGGCCCAGGACUAGUUUUUGCUUCUAGUUCUGGUUUUGGUGAUGCUAGUGACAUGU
ensembl:snoRNA SNORA72 Small nucleolar RNA SNORA72